GUGCAGCAGGCGAGAAAACUUCACAAUGUGCGAAAGCACGAUGAGGGAAUCCCAAGUGCUUGCUCGUAAGAGUAAGCUGUUUCUCUGUCUAAAACGCAGAGAGAGUAAGGGCUGGGUAAGACGGGUGCCAGCCGCCGCGGGUAAUACCUGCAGCUCGAGUGGUGGCCUCUAUUAUUGGGGCCUAAAACGUCCGUAGCCGGUUUAUUAAAUGCCUGGGUAAAUCGGACCGCUUAACGGUUCGAAUUCCGGGUAGACUGAUAAAC
rnacentral:rRNA from 1 species